AUGUAAAUGCGAUACAUUAUGCAUAUGAAAAUAAUUCACGAAAGUAUCGCAUAUGGAAGUACCUGGAAUAAAUUUGGACUAUUACCUUCGGAUGUUUACACGACUGUGCUGUCAAAAGGCCUCCCACCCAUGUGUUUACAUAAUUUGACAGGUCGAGUUGCUCUGGCGGAAACAACGAUGCAUACCUGGCACCAUGGAAAUAAUGUAGAUCUAAUUUGUAAACUGUCAUGGAACCUGUCCUCGGCACCAACAUGUCCUAUCAUGAUGGCGACCAAGAGUACAGAAAGAUAAAGAUGUAAGCUGAUCCAAAGAAAUAUUGGGACAAUGAAUGCUGUAAUUAUCAAGAAGAAGACUGCCAUAUUUACACACCAUUUUUAUACAGAUGCUCAUCUAUGGACCACAAGUGUUUAA